rnacentral:rRNA from 1 species
AGCUUGCUCCCUGAUGUUAGCGGCGGACYGGUGAGUAACACGUGGGUAACCUGCCUGUAAGACUGGGAUAACUCCGGGAAACCGGGGCUAAUACCGGAUGCUUGUUUGAACCGCAUGGUUCAGACAUAAAAGGUGGCUUCGGCUACCACUUACAGAUGGACCCGCGGCGCAUUAGCUAGUUGGUGAGGUAACGGCUCACCAAGGCGACGAUGCGUAGCCGACCUGAGAGGGUGAUCGGCCACACUGGGACUGAGACACGGCCCAGACUCCUACGGGAGGCAGCAGUAGGGAAUCUUCCGCAAUGGACGAAAGUCUGACGGAGCAACGCCGCGUGAGUGAUGAAGGUUUUCGGAUCGUAAAGCUCUGUUGUUAGGGAAGAACAAGUGCCGUUCRAAUAGGGCGGCACCUUGACGGUACCUAACCAGAAAGCCACGGCUAACUACGUGCCAGCAGCCGCGGUAAUACGUAGGUGGCAAGCGUUGUCCGGAAUUAUUGGGCGUAAAGGGCUCGCAGGCGGUUUCUUAAGUCUGAUGUGAAAGCCCCCGGCUCAACCGGGGAGGGUCAUUGGAAACUGGGGAACUUGAGUGCAGAAGAGGAGAGUGGAAUUCCACGUGUAGCGGUGAAAUGCGUAGAGAUGUGGAGGAACACCAGUGGCGAAGGCGACUCUCUGGUCUGUAACUGACGCUGAGGAGCGAAAGCGUGGGGAGCGAACAGGAUUAGAUACCCUGGUAGUCCACGCCGUAAACGAUGAGUGCUAAGUGUUAGGGGGUUUCCGCCCCUUAGUGCUGCAGCUAACGCAUUAAGCACUCCGCCUGGGGAGUACGGUCGCAAGACUGAAACUCAAAGGAAUUGACGGGGGCCCGCACAAGCGGUGGAGCAU